rnacentral:rRNA from 1 species
AGAGUUUGAUCCUGGCUCAGGACGAACGCUGGCGGCGUGCUUAACACAUGCAAGUCGAGCGGAAAGGCCCUUCGGGGUACUCGAGCGGCGAACGGGUGAGUAACACGUGAGCAACCUGCCCUUGGCUCUGGGAUAGCCUCCGGAAACGGGGAUUAAUACCGGACACGACCUGGCCCUGCAUGGGGCCGGGUGGAAAGUCU